GAUGAACGCUGGCGGCGUGCCUAAUACAUGCAAGUCGAACGAGGUGCUUGAGUAGCAAUACGAGAGUAUCCUAGUGGCGAACGGGUGAGUAACGCGUUGGUGACCUACCCCAAAGUGUGGGAUAACAGUUCGAAAGGACUGCUAAUACCGCAUGUGAUUAUCGGAAUUAGAACCUGAUAAUUAAAGGAGCAAUUCGCUUUGGGAGGGACCUGCGUCCCAUCAGCUAGUUGGUGAGGUAAUGGCUCACCAAGGCUACGACGGGUAGGGGACCUGAGAGGGUGACCCCCCACAAUGGAACUGAAACACGGUCCAUACACCUACGGGUGGCAGCAGUAGGGAAUAUUGCACAAUGGGCGAAAGCCUGAUGCAGCAACGCCGCGUGUGCGAUGAAGGCCUUCGGGUCGUAAAGCACUUUUCUGAGGGAUGAGCAAGGACAGUACCUCAGGAAUAAGUCUCGGCUAACUACGUGC
rnacentral:rRNA from 1 species